rnacentral:rRNA from 1 species
UACGAGGGGGGCGAGCGUUGUUCGGAAUUAUUGGGCGUAAAGGGUGCGUAGGCGGUUCCGCAAGUCCUGUGUGAAAUCUUCGGGCUCAACUCGAAGUCUGCACGGGAAACUGUGGGGCUUGAGUGUGGGAGAGGUGAGUGGAAUUCCCGGUGUAGCGGUGAAAUGCGUAGAUAUCGGAAGGAACACCAGUGGCGAAAGCGGCUUCCUGGUCCGACACCGACGUUCAGGCACGAAAGCGUGGGGAGCAAACAGG